rnacentral:lncRNA from 1 species
UCGAUUAACCAAUGGACAUCGCCUGGCUGGCCUCCUCUGCUCUGCUAUAGUUUUCAUUCCCACCAAUUUUUUCCCCUUUGGUUUGGUUAGUAGUAUACACUGACUUGACCUGACAAUUCUUUGCAUCAGUUUUUGUUUCGUCGUCUUGUACCUAUGAUCCAUCCAUCCAUGAUAGUAAAGAGAGGGAGAGAGAGAGAAUAUACAGUUCGAUCUUGCUGUGCAUACACAUACAUAUACACACCAAUAAAAAAGAAUCGGUUACACUGAACAUACAUACAUACAUAAUACAGGCGUCAACAAACAAAAACAAACAGAGGAGUAGAGUUUGCUUGCUAUCUGAACUGAACUCCGGCCCUGAACUCUGAAAGAAGCCAUCCAUCAGAGACAUGACUGUGAACUGAACUCCCGCCAGGCUGUAUGAGUUCGUUGGAACGGACUAAUCAGCUUUCGUUAAGCGUCACCCGUCGGGCCAGGCGACGCAUCAAACGCACCCACCUAUCUCUUCAGAGCUCGAGCUGUGCCGAACGACGGCGAUGGCAGUCCCGAUCCUUCAACGGCCGGGGAAGAAAUAACCACCGCAGCCCGCGUUCAGUCCCAAACGCGGAAACUUUACCCACAAAAGCGAGCGAGAUAACGCAACUCCCUGUCGUAGCUAGCUGGGGUGCUAAAGAAACGCACGCACCCGGAUCAUACAGUGAGUGGAAUCUCGCCAUCCAUCCAUCCCUACGACUACGAGUGCGCCCGCGCCCGCGUUUGUGGUCGUCGUCGUCGUCCGGCGGAAGAUUCGCCCGCACGCCAUUGUAUUUCUGAACCUUCAGGAAGCUGCCCGUCGACGUCGACGCCUCGGGCCGUCGGGCGCACGCGCACAGCGACGUGUGGUGGCAAGGUCGGUGCAGUGUGGGACACGCUGGCGGGAUUUCACCUUCUCAAUACCAGCCUCGGGAUUCGUACGGUGCCUUCUUAUCCAAGCUCUCGGGCUCGGCGCGUCCUGUUCCCCUGAAUUGAGUGGGGAAAAAAAAAGAAGAGAGAAGAGGAGUUCAUAACGAACGGGCCAACAGCCCACUAAAGCAUGGCAGGCCGAUACAGUGUUGUAGUCUGUAGUAGGGCUGGGCGGGUAAUACGGGCUAUUCGGUUCGGUCUAUUUGGGUUCUAUAAAAUUCGGGUUCUGAAUUAUAGGAACCGAACCCGAACCCAAAUAGACCGAAAAAUUCGGUUCGGUCUAUUCGGUUCCUCCAGAACCUGAAUAACUUGACUCUUGAGCAAACUGCACUAGGGUCUAGGCACUGCCACUGCACCUUCGUUCAAUCCAACAAACAAACUGCAAACCUGCAUCUAAUCCAAGAAGCAAACCUGGAGCCCUACACGUCCAACAAGCAAACCUACUUCCAAUCCAACAAGCAAACCCCGGCGUUCCUACACGCCUACAGCCUGCCAACAGCCUUGCAUCCAAUCCAAUAAGCAACCUGCAAACACACGGUCACACAUUCACUCACAGGACGAAGUUAGAGCGGAUACUGGUUCGUUGGCCGGCUGGCCACUGGACCUGGUCGGGGGGAAGUUGGGAGCUGGAGCAGCGGAGCGGACGCCGGAGUUGGAGCUGCAGCGCGGCCGCGCCCGCGCAGGAGCAGAACAUCGGACGUCAGGGCAGUGGAGCCGAACGCCGGACACCGGGAGCCUGCGGGUGGAUUGGCCUUCCUGCUGGCGGCGGGCAGCGGCGUGGGGCCGUGGGCGACGUUCCUGCAGGCGUGGCUAGCGUGGGCGGCGGCGCUUGCGAGUAGCUCUAGG